GGCGGCGGCCGGCGAGGCCUGCGGGCUCAGGUCGGAGCCUGGAAACCCGGGAGUCCGCAGUCCCGGGAGCCCACCGCGCGGGGAGCUUGGCUUUCCCGAGAAGGAAAUAUGGAAAAUGAGCUUUGCGGCCCAGGACGGCUGAGUCGUGUUCCCGCGGCGCCAAGCACUGUUCCUUUAUGCCUAGGCCUCGCGAGCGGGGCCUGGAGAAACAAUGGCUUUUCUGUGUAGAAAGGGGGCCGGGAAAGACCUUUCUCCCGUAGAGCAAGGCUGGUUGCAAUUCUGGAAGCAUUGGUGACCCAUCAUUGGGUGGAAUUCUGGACCCAACUUCCUCACUAACAAGAUACUGGCAAAAUUUCAGCAGCGAUCAAGACCAACUUGCAGAGUAAUCACUGUGGUAGUUUGAAUGUAAAGUGUCCCCCACAGCCUCACGUGUUUGUGAUUAGUUCUCAUACUCAAUCCCCAGCUGGGAGAGCCUUUAGAAGGUAGACCCCACUGCUGAGGUGUGCCACAGCUCCAAGUCCAGUUCUAAGACUCAUUCUACCCAGAUAUGUGACUACAUGUGAGCUAGCUCAUUCUCUUUCUGCUUUUUGCCAGCUGCAGUGGCAAAAUGGUGAUGGCCAGCCUCUGCUCUGCCAUGCCAUGAUGAAACUUGCCCUUGAGACUAUAAGCUGAAAUAAACCCUUUCUUCCCAUCA